rnacentral:rRNA from 1 species
GAUGAACGCUGGCGGCGUGCCUAAUACAUGCAAGUCGAGCGAACGGACGAGAAGCUUGCUUCUCUGAUGUUAGCGGCGGACGGGUGAGUAACACGUGGAUAACCUACCUAUAAGACUGGGAUAACUUCGGGAAACCGGAGCUAAUACCGGAUAAUAUUUUGAACCGCAUGGUUCAAAAGUGAAAGACGGUCUUGCUGUCACUUAUAGAUGGAUCCGCGCUGCAUUAGCUAGUUGGUAAGGUAACGGCUUACCAAGGCAACGAUGCAUAGCCGACCUGAGAGGGUGAUCGGCCACACUGGAACUGAGACACGGUCCAGACUCCUACGGGAGGCAGCAGUAGGGAAUCUUCCGCAAUGGGCGAAAGCCUGACGGAGCAACGCCGCGUGAGUGAUGAAGGUCUUCGGAUCGUAAAACUCUGUUAUUAGGGAAGAACAUAUGUGUAAGUAACUGUGCACAUCUUGACGGUACCUAAUCAGAAAGCCACGGCUAACUACGUGCCAGCAGCCGCGGUAAUACGUAGGUGGCAAGCGUUAUCCGGAAUUAUUGGGCGUAAAGCGCGCGUAGCGGUUUUUUAGUCUGAUGUGAAAGCCCACGGCUCAACCGUGGAGGGUCAUUGGAAACUGGAAAACUUGAGUGCAGAAGAGGAAAGUGGAAUUCCAUGUGUAGCGGUGAAAUGCGCAGAGAUAUGGAGGAACACCAGUGGCGAAGGCGACUUUCUGGUCUGUAACUGACGCUGAUGUGCGAAAGCGUGGGGAUCAAACAGGAUUAGAUACCCUGGUAGUCCACGCCGUAAACGAUGAGUGCUAAGUGUUAGGGGGUUUCCGCCCCUUAGUGCUGCAGCUAACGCAUUAAGCACUCCGCCUGGGGAGUACGACCGCAAGGUUGAAACUCAAAGGAAUUGACGGGGACCCGCACAAGCGGUGGAGCAUGUGGUUUAAUUCGAAGCAACGCGAAGAACCUUACCAAAUCUUGACAUCCUUUGACAACUCUAGAGAUAGAGCCUUCCCCUUCGGGGGACAAAGUGACAGGUGGUGCAUGGUUGUCGUCAGCUCGUGUCGUGAGAUGUUGGGUUAAGUCCCGCAACGAGCGCAACCCUUAAGCUUAGUUGCCAUCAUUAAGUUGGGCACUCUAAGUUGACUGCCGGUGACAAACCGGAGGAAGGUGGGGAUGACGUCAAAUCAUCAUGCCCCUUAUGAUUUGGGCUACACACGUGCUACAAUGGACAAUACAAAGGGCAGCGAAACCGCGAGGUCAAGCAAAUCCCAUAAAGUUGUUCUCAGUUCGGAUUGUAGUCUGCAACUCGACUACAUGAAGCUGGAAUCGCUAGUAAUCGUAGAUCAGCAUGCUACGGUGAAUACGUUCCCGGGUCU